UACGAAGGGGGCUAGCGUUGCUCGGAAUCACUGGGCGUAAAGCGCACGUAGGCGGCUUUUUAAGUCAGGUGUGAAAUCCUGGAGCUCAACUCCAGAACUGCCUUUGAUACUGUGAAGCUUGAGUCCGGGAGAGGUGAGUGGAACUCCGAGUGUAGAGGUGAAAUUCGUAGAUAUUCGGAAGAACACCAGUGGCGAAGGCAGCUCACUGGCCCGGUACUGACGCUGAGGUGCGAAAGCGUGGGGAGCAAACAGG
rnacentral:rRNA from 1 species